CCCUGCAUUCAAAAGUGAUUAUGGUCUAACUGGGACCUGGUUGUUGACAGGGCAGGGAGAGAAACUCCUGAAAGGGUUUUCCUGUGUUUGAAGAGUCAGCAUUGCAAAACCUGUACCUUUCAAACA